rnacentral:rRNA from 1 species
GGGUUGUGAGGUUAAGCGACUAAGCGUACACGGUGGAUGCCCUGGCAGUCAGAGGCGAUGAAGGACGUGCUAAUCUGCGAUAAGCGUCGGUAAGGUGAUAUGAACCGUUAUAACCGGCGAUUUCCGAAUGGGGAAACCCAGUGUGUUUCGACACACUAUCAUUAACUGAAUCCAUAGGUUAAUGAGGCGAACCGGGGGAACUGAAACAUCUAAGUACCCCGAGGAAAAGAAAUCAACCGAGAUUCCCCCAGUAGCGGCGAGCGAACGGGGAGCAGCCCAGAGCCUGAAUCAGUGUGUGUGUUAGUGGAAGCGUCUGGAAAGGCGCGCGAUACAGGGUGACAGCCCCGUACACAAAAAUGCACAUGCUGUGAGCUCGAUGAGUAGGGCGGGACACGUGGUAUCCUGUCUGAAUAUGGGGGGACCAUCCUCCAAGGCUAAAUACUCCUGACUGACCGAUAGUGAACCAGUACCGUGAGGGAAAGGCGAAAAGAACCCCGGCGAGGGGAGUGAAAAAGAACCUGAAACCGUGUACGUACAAGCAGUGGGAGCACGCUUCGGCGUGUGACUGCGUACCUUUUGUAUAAUGGGUCAGCGACUUAUAUUCUGUAGCAAGGUUAACCGAAUAGGGGAGCCGAAGGGAAACCGAGUCUUAACUGGGCGUUAAGUUGCAGGGUAUAGACCCGAAACCCGGUGAUCUAGCCAUGGGCAGGUUGAAGGUUGGGUAACACUAACUGGAGGACCGAACCGACUAAUGUUGAAAAAUUAGCGGAUGACUUGUGGCUGGGGGUGAAAGGCCAAUCAAACCGGGAGAUAGCUGGUUCUCCCCGAAAGCUAUUUAGGUAGCGCCUCGUGAAUUCAUCUCCGGGGGUAGAGCACUGUUUCGGCAAGGGGGUCAUCCCGACUUACCAACCCGAUGCAAACUGCGAAUACCGGAGAAUGUUAUCACGGGAGACACACGGCGGGUGCUAACGUCCGUCGUGAAGAGGGAAACAACCCAGACCGCCAGCUAAGGUCCCAAAGUCAUGGUUAAGUGGGAAACGAUGUGGGAAGGCCCAGACAGCCAGGAUGUUGGCUUAGAAGCAGCCAUCAUUUAAAGAAAGCGUAAUAGCUCACUGGUCGAGUCGGCCUGCGCGGAAGAUGUAACGGGGCUAAACCAUGCACCGAAGCUGCGGCAGCGACGCUGAUGCGUUGUUGGGUA